rnacentral:rRNA from 1 species
UGGUGGUGAUAACGAAGAGGAAAUACCUGUUCCCAUGCCGAACACAGAAGUCAAGCUCUUUAGUGCUGAAGAUACUUGUGGGUUACCCUGCUGGAAAAAUAAGAAGUCGCC